AUUCAUCCGUGUGAUUCUUUUUUGUGUUUUCUCAGCUUUGAUGCUGCCCGAUCCUUUUCUCUUCGCUGUGUGUGUGUGUGUGUGGGUCUCACUCUGGAAAUGCUGUGGGUGCGUGGAUGUUUUAGGGUUUUGCCUAAUCAGUGAUUGGACUGGCUCGUUGUUUUGUGUGCAGGUCUAAGUUCUGCAGGUUUGUUGCAACAGGCGCUGUGUGGAUUGUGUGAUGUUUUCAGGAGCAUUGAGGCGUUUGCCGAACAUGAGGCAAUUGGUCGGCCGCUGGCACCUUUGCACAUGUUUGAUCCAAUUCGACGUUGGACCUUGCCACGCAUGAGAGUGCUGGAUUUGUGCUCUGAUUUUCCUUUACGUGUGUCUGGGAUGGAGAGCGGUGGGCUUGUCGGAGAUCGACAAUUGUCAGCGCACUGGCACAUUAUGUCUAUUUUUGGGAGCUUCAUAUAUUUUGAAGACAUGAAGUGGUGCAUAUGUGUACGUAUGGACAGUGAGUCUUCGUGGCUGUGUUCCUGGGAGGUGACGAAAAAAUGUGUCCGAUUGGACUGGAAGCUGUAGUCGUGUCUUUAAUCGUGUACAUAGCCAAGGUUUGGGAGACAAAGGUAGGAGCUUUCUACGACAAUCUCCGGAAGUUAGUUGCCACAGCCGCUGGAUAUCCUCAACUGGACGAAGGGGCGCAGACGGACAUGCCUAUCAGGUUCAUGCUAAAUACUGAGUUGAAGUCUGCUUCUGCUCUUUAUGAAGACUCACAAUCGGAUUUUUGACUCUGAUUCGGAUGUUGAUGAUCGAGGGAGCACGAGGGGGAAGACGGGAAACGGUGGUAGGGGUGUGGAGGUUCUUUGAGAAGAGAAGCUCUUUGAGGCUUUAUGUUGCAGGAUGCGUGACUUUCAUGGUCUCUAAUCGGCGAGUUUCAUGUUUAACAUCGUCCUUACUCUGCGCAAGAAACCAGAGGAGUCUCUCUAGCUGGCUGGAGUGUCACUGAAAAAUAAAUUUGUACACGAGCGGUUGGAUGAAUAGAGAUGUGAUUCUACCAAUCUGAGCUUGAGGGGUUUGUGGACCUGGCUGGGACUUUAGAGAGCGCAACAUUGGAAGGCGGGAUUAGAGAACGCGCUUCAGUCAUGUAAAGGAGUAUUUUCGACAUAGUGCGGCGUCUGGUGCUGGUCGGGGAAUGUAGUUCAGACGAAGUCAUGAUGUUCUCUUUCUACGUUGCACAUAAUCUGAAGACGUGGGGUGACAGUGGUUUGAAAACCGUAAAGAUAUUGAUUGCCAUGAUAGAGAUUCCUCUUACAGAGUGUCAACAGCACUACCGUUACAUGAAGAACUAGACUAGGAAAGGGUUGUAACAAAUGUUAGUCAAGGUAGGAAAUUAUGCUGGACUGGGUGAUCUCUACGUCAAAAAUCCAUACUGUUUUAAUGGUUACAAAUAUCAGGUGUCUGCCGCCGGUAUUGUCUUAAGGUGUGACGGCUUCGUUAGAAACCUCAAUCUUGGGUGUCGACAGCAAUUGGACAGACAACUUCUUUUCAGCUUUUGUAGCCCUCUCCGCUGGUAAAUGGGAUUGUCUGCGAGCAGUAAUGCAGCUCGCUAUAAGGUUGCAAGAGCUUGUAUUAGCAUUGGCAGUGCUACUACUGAAAAAAAGAAAGAGAGAAAGAAAGAAAAUGAGAAAAAAAGACGAAAUCAAGACAUGCAAAUUUUUUAUGUUGGUUCAUCGAU